AGAACUUAGCAGAGAUGCUUUGGUGCCUUCGGGAACUCUGAGACAGGUGCUGCAUGGCUGUCGUCAGCUCGUGUUGUGAAAUGGUUGGGUUAAGUCCCGCAACGAGCGCAACCCUUAUCCUUUGUCGUCAGCGGUCCGGCCGGGAACUCAAAGGAGACUGCCAGUGAUAAACUGGAGGAAGGUGGGGAUGACGUCAAGUCAUCAUGGCCCUUACGAGUAGGGCUACACACGUGCUACAAUGGCGCAUACAAAGAGAAGCGACCUCGCGAGAGCAAGCGGACCUCAUAAAGUGCGUCGUAGUCCGGAUUGGAGUCUGCAACUCGACUCCAUGAAGUCGGAAUCGCUAGUAAUCGUGGAUCAGAAUGCCACGGUGAAUACGUUCCCGGGCCUUGUACACACCGCCCGUCACACCAUGGGAGUGGGUUGCAAAAGAAGUAGGUAGCUUAACCUUCGGGAGGGCGCUUACCACUUUGUGAUUCAUGACUGGGGUGAAGUCGUAACAAGGUAGGCGUAGUGCU
rnacentral:rRNA from 1 species